rnacentral:rRNA from 1 species
GUAGGUGGCAAGUGUUGUCCGGAAUUAUUGGGCGUAAAGCGCGCGCAGGCGGUUCUUUAAGUCUGAUGUGAAAGCCCACGGCUCAACCGUGGAGGGUCAUUGGAAACUGGAGAACUUGAGUACAGAAGAGGAAAGCGGAAUUCCACGUGUAGCGGUGAAAUGCGUAGAGAUGUGGAGGAACACCAGUGGCGAAGGCGGCUUUCUGGUCUGUAACUGACGCUGAGGCGCGAAAGCGUGGGGGAGCAAACAGGAUUAGAUACCCUGGUAGUCCACGCCGUAAACGAUGAGUGCUAAGUGUUAGGGGGUUUCCGCCCCUUAGUGCUGCAGCUAACGCAUUAAGCACUCCGCCUGGGAGUACGGCCGCAAGGCUG